GAACGUACGCUGGCGGCACGCCUAACACAUGCAAGUCGAACGAAGUAGCAAUACUUAGUGGCAGACGGGUGAGUAACAUGUAGGUAUCUGCCCUUUGGCCUGGAAUAACACGAGGAAACUUGUGCUAAUACCGGAUAAGUCUUUACGGAGAAAGCUUUAUGCACCAUUGGAUGAGCCUGCACUUGAUUAGUUUGUUGGUGGGGUAAUGGCCUACCAAGACUGUGAUCAAUAGCUGAUUUGAGAGGAUGAUCAGCCACAUUGGGACUGAGACACGGCCCAAACUCCUACGGGAGGCAGCAGUGGGGAAUCUUGCACAAUGGAGGAAACUCUGAUGCAGCGAUGCCGCGUGAGUGAAGAAGGCCUUUGGGUUGUAAAGCUCCUUCGUCGGGGAAGAAAAUGACUGUACCCGAAUAAGAAGGUCCGGCUAACUUCGUGCCAGCAGCCGCGGUAAUACGAAGGGACCUAGCGUAGUUCGGAAUUACUGGGCUUAAAGAGUUCGUAGGUGGUUGAAAAAGUUAGUGGUGAAAUCCCAGAGCUUAACUCUGGAACUGCCAUUAAAACUUUUCAGCUAGAGUAUGAUAGAGGAAAGCAGAAUUUCUAGUGUAGAGGUGAAAUUCGUAGAUAUUAGAAAGAAUACCAAUUGCGAAGGCAGCUUUCUGGAUCAUUACUGACACUGAGGAACGAAAGCAUGGGUAGCGAAGAGGAUUAGAUACCCUCGUAGUCCAUGCCGUAAACGAUGUGUGUUAGACGUUGGAAAUUUAUUUUCAGUGUCGCAGGGAAACCGAUAAACACACCGCCUGGGGAGUACGACCGCAAGGUUAAAACUCAAAUGAAUUGACGGGGACCCGCACAAGUAGUGGAGCAUGUGGUUUAAUUCGAAGAUACGCGCAGAACCUUACCAACACUUGACAUGUUCGUCGCGACUCUAAGAGAUUAGAGUUUUCGGUUCGGCCGGACGAAACACAGGUGCUGCAUGGCUGUCGUCAGCUCGUGUCGUGAGAUGUUGGGUUAAGUCCCGCAACGAGCGCAACCCUCACUUUUAGUUGCCAUCAUUAAGUUGGGCACUCUGAAAGAACUGCCAGUGAUAAGCUGGAGGAAGGUGGGGAUGACGUCAAGUCCUCAUGGCCCUUACGUGUUGGGCUACACACGUGCUACAAUGGUAUCUACAACAGGAAGCAAGACUGCGAAGUUAAGCAAAUCCCUAAAAGAUACCUCAGUUCGGAUUGCACUCUGCAACUCGAGUGCAUGAAGCUGGAAUUACUAGUAAUCGUGGAUCAGCGUGCCACGGUGAAUGCGUUCCCGGGUCUUGUACACACCGCC
rnacentral:rRNA from 1 species